rnacentral:rRNA from 1 species
GACGAACGCUGGCGGCGUGCCUAAUACAUGCAAGUUGAGCGCUGAAGGUUGGUACUUGUACCGACUGGAUGAGCAGCGAACGGGUGAGUAACGCGUGGGGAAUCUGCCUUUGAGCGGGGGACAACAUUUGGAAACGAAUGCUAAUACCGCAUAAAAACUUUAAACACAAGUUUUAAGUUUGAAAGAUGCAAUUGCAUCACUCAAAGAUGAUCCCGCGUUGUAUUAGCUAGUUGGUGAGGUAAAGGCUCACCAAGGCGAUGAUACAUAGCCGACCUGAGAGGGUGGUCGGCCACAUUGGGAAUGGGACACGGCCCAAACUCCUACGGGAGGCAGCAGUAGGGGAUCUUCGGCAAUGGACGAAAGUCUGACCGAGCAACGCCGCGUGAGUGAAGAAGGGUUUCGGAUCGUAAAACUCUGUUGGUAGAGAAGAACGUUGGUGAGAGUGGAAAGCUCAUCAAGUGACGGUAACUACCCAGAAAGGGACGGCUAACUACGUG